rnacentral:lncRNA from 1 species
AUAAAAGAUACAAAAAAGUCUCCACAUACUUAUCACUCUAUGUUGCCUUUACUUUUCUCUAUCUCAUCAGGAGUCAACAAAGGAAACUGCUGUUUUCCAGAUGGAGUACCCAAUCUAUUCCCAAGCCAUACUUCUCACAAAUGAAGGAUAUAGCACCUGUCCUGAGAACAUGACAACUCUAUUCCUGGUAAGGACUACGCAUUUCCCUAUUUUCUUACAACAAAGACUACCAAAGUAUAGUAGUCCGCACUUAUCCGCAGUUUUGCUUCCGGCAGUUUCGUUACCUGCCAUCAAUCUCAGACUGCAAGCAUCUUACCGUCCUUCUGACGAAUCAUCAGAUGGUCAAUUAGUAGCCCGACUCUACAUCACAAUGCCUACGUCAUUCUGCCUCAAGUUACCUCAUCACGUAGGCAUUUUAUCAUCUUACAGCGUCACAAGGAGAAGGGUGAGUACAGUGCAGUAAGAUAUUUUGAAAGAUAUAAUAGUCAUGUAACUUUUAGCACGGUGUACUAUUACAAUUGUUUUAUUUGUAAUUAAUUUAUUGGUGUUAAUCUUUUACUGUGCCUAAUUUAUAAGUUGACUUUUAUCAUCGGCAUGUAUGUAUAGGAAAAUACAGGGUUCUUUACUAUGUGUGGUCACAGGCAUUCAUUGAAGGUUUUGCAACAUACCUCCUGCAGCGAAGGGGGUGCUACUCUAUUAGGCAGG